UACGUAGGGUGCGAGCGUUGUCCGGAAUUAUUGGGCGUAAAGAGCUUGUAGGCGGUCUGUCGCGUCUGCUGUGAAAAUCCGGGGCUCAACCCCGGACUUGCAGUGGGUACGGGCAGACUAGAGUGUGGUAGGGGAGACUGGAAUUCCUGGUGUAGCGGUGAAAUGCGCAGAUAUCAGGAGGAACACCGAUGGCGAAGGCAGGUCUCUGGGCCACUACUGACGCUGAGAGGCGAAAGCAUGGGGAGCGAACAGG
rnacentral:rRNA from 1 species